CAGAUCAGAACCUGGUCAUCAGAACCUGGUCAUCAGUCAUGCGGUCCAUUAGCUACUUGAGCGGUUCAGUUUUAGGUUCCACCUUCAUCCAGGUUCUUCUUUGGUUCUAACUGAUACCUGGACAGGUGAUGAACCUGGAUGAAGAUAGAAUGUCUGCAAGAACCCCAUCAGUUGUGUAGCUGCAUUGUGUAGUGUUGCAUAGAGUUGGAAAACGCGACGUAUGUGCUGCAAUUGAUUGUGGGUAACAGAGACAGCUAGCACGCUAGUUAGCAUUCUACACGGAGGUAAACGGCGCGCAUUAUCGGUGAUAAACAGAAUGACAAGAGCUUGUAGUGUUGUAAAGAGUCAUAGUCGUUCCCAUGACCACCUCGGGAGACCAAAAGGCAAUGGGAUAGGCUUUUAUCGUAUUCCGGCUUGGAAAAGAAACAGCUCAAACCAUGUCUCCGAAGUCACUAAACGGUGAAGAAUGGCACGGAUAGCAGCCAUAAGGAGACCCAAUAUAACUUAUGAAAAUAGCCCCGCACAUACAGCCCGAUCUCACGGGGAUUCGUGAAACUGUCACGUAAGUUUUAGUUUCGGUUUCGUGUGCACCAACACGAUUUCGUCAUGUUUUUCGUGCCGCUCACCACGAAAUGCGCACCAAUGUAUUUUAAACGGCGGACUUUUCGUGCCACUCAGAACGUAUUUCAAAAGAAUGUGUAUAUUAUAUUUUUAAUGUAAAACCGUGGCGAAUCCAACGCUAUAUUUUGCAUGACAUCGUCCCUAACCAUAACCCUAACCAUAACCUAACCAUAAGCCGGUGGUACACUUACCAAUUUGCAUAGGAAUUUCAAGAAUGUCCGGCGGCCGGCGGCCGCAAACGCAAUCACACAAGCAGUAUACGCCGAUGGACAGCUUAGAUCGUCAUGAAUCCGCCGGUAUAAACCACUUUCAGAUGUGAUUACCACAGCGAAAAACAUUUCGUGGUGAGCGGCACGAAAAACAUGAGGAAAUCGUGUUGGUGCGCACGAAACCGAAACUAAAACUUACGUGACAGUUUCACGAAUCCCCGUGAGACCGGGUUGGCACAUAUGAUGGUGUGCUCCAAGCAUUUCCUGAACGGUAAGUUAAUGUGAAAAUACAUUUUGCUAUUAUUGAGUGAGUUAUUUUGCAGAUAGCAAGUUAAUCUGCAGUACGUUUCUUGUUAGCCUGUCGGCUAAUGUGUUUGUUGUUUCCAGGCAAACCAGCCUACGAAAUGCUAGAAUGCCUCCCAGACUGGGCACCAUCUCUGAACCUCGGUCAUUCUGAGAUUAAAACGACUACAACGGAGAGAUUUGAACGGUUAUGUUCUCGAUCAAAAGCAAAACAACACCCAAAUACACCACCGAGGAGCACCGGACCAGACACAGAAGAGGAGAACAUUCCAGCUGAAAACCAUGCAGCACCAAACACUACUGCAACUUCAGAGGAGGUGGAGCUGGAGCAGAUCAGUCAACACCAUGAAGAGGAGCGAGAGCGUAUGAUGUGUUCACUUAGACUCAAGGAAAUCGCACAUCAGCAGGAAGAAAACCGAAAAUUGAAGGAGGAGCCGUCCAAAAAAAAUUGGAUGAGGAUUUUCUAAAAGACAACGACCCAGAAGUGAAGUUCUACACAGGACUUCCGUCUUUUGCUCUGCUGAUGGGUGUGCUAAUGCUAAUUCGUCCCAGCUUACCAAACACAGAAAGAAAGCUUUCCCAUUUUCAGAUGCUGCUGUUGACAUUCAUGCGUUUAAGGCUGAAUCUGCCACUUGAUCACAUUGCACACCUCUUUGACAUAAGCCGGACAACUACGUCCAACCUGUUUUAUGAUACCGUUAGUGUACUAUUUGCUCACCUCAGCCCUCUGGUGCUUUGGCCGAAGAGGCAUUACUUACAGACAAGCAUGCCUCAUCAGCACGUUGAGAUGUUCGGUGACAGAGUCGCAGUUAUCAUUGACUGUUUUGAACUGUGCAUAGAGCGAGCACAAACUCUACGAGCUAAGGCUGAGACAUAUUCCAACUACAAAAGUAGGCACACUAUGAAAUAUCUCACAGGCAUCACACCACAAGGGACAGUCUCCUUCAUUUCUACAGGAUAAGGAGGACGUGCCAGUGACAAACUUAUAGCUGAGACGUCUGGUUUUCUCCAAAGCUCUCACCUGGAGACACAGUGCUGGCCGACCGGGGAUUUGACAUUAAGGACAGAGUUGCCCUGAUGGGUGCCACAUUGAAAAUCCCAGCAUUUACCCGGGGCCGCAGCCAACUGGAAGCAAAAGAUGUAGAGGAGACACGAAAACUAGCUCAUGUAAGGAUUCAUGUCGAGCGGGUGUAUUUGCUCAAAGUACACCAUACUGAAUGACACUAUUCGCCUGGGUUUAGUGGUGCCAUGUGAGGGUGAAAGUAUGACUUUACUAGAUAACACUGUGGUUGUUUCAUGUGCACUUACUAAUAUGUGUCCAAGUGUUGUAUUGAAGCAAUGAAUUUAUCUGGGCCAAUACAUUAUGAAAUAAUUAAGUCUCAAAAAUGCAAAUAAAACAUUAAAACCA